rnacentral:tRNA from 1 species
GUCCCCGUAGUUCAACGGAUAGAAUAGAAGUUUCCUAAACUUUUGAUCCCAGUUCGAUUCUGGGCGGGGAUACAA